rnacentral:pre_miRNA from 1 species
AUAAUAGGCCUGAUCCAAAGUCCAUUGAAGUCAAUGGGCGUCUUUCCAUUGAAGUCAACGGGCUUUGGAUCAGACUUAAU